rnacentral:misc_RNA from 1 species
CCUGCAGGUCUUCCGCAACAAUAGUGUUGUUGUCAUCCUCAUCAUCAUCCUCUUCAAUAAAUACAUCAGGAUCUUCUUGAUUAGGAUCGUCAUCGUCAGUGCUUACUUUGGAAUUUCUUCGCAUGGGAGGGGAGUAUUUGUUCUUAA